UACGAAGGGGGCGAGCGUUGUUCGGAUUUACUGGGCGUAAAGGGCGCGCAGGCGGCUAUCCAAGUCAGGCGUGAAAGCCCCGGGCUUAACCUGGGAGGUGCGUCUGGGACUGGGUGGCUAGAGUUCGGGAGAGGAGAGUGGAAUUCCCAGUGUAGAGGUGAAAUUCGUAGAUAUUGGGAAGAACACCGGUGGCGAAGGCGGCUCACUGGCUCGUAACUGACGCUCAUGCACGACAGCGUGGGGAUCAAACAGG
rnacentral:rRNA from 1 species